rnacentral:rRNA from 1 species
UACGUAGGGCGCAAGCGUUAUCCGGAAUUAUUGGGCGUAAAGAGCUCGUAGGCGGUUUGUCGCGUCUGCCGUGAAAGUCCGGGGCUCAACUUCGGAUCUGCGGUGGGUACGGGCAGGCUAGAGUGAUGUAGGGGAGACUGGAAUUCCUGGUGUAGCGGUGAAAUGCGCAGAUAUCAGGAGGAACACCGGUGGCGAAGGCGGGUCUCUGGGCAACAACUGACGCUGAGGAGCGAAAGCGUGGGGAGCGAACAGG